rnacentral:rRNA from 1 species
UACGUAGGGUGCGAGCGUUGUCCGGAAUUAUUGGGCGUAAAGAGCUUGUAGGCGGUUUGUCGCGUCUGCCGUGAAAAUUCGAGGCUCAACCUCGAACUUGCGGUGGGUACGGGCAGACUAGAGUGUGGUAGGGGAGACUGGAAUUCCUGGUGUAGCGGUGAAAUGCGCAGAUAUCAGGAGGAACACCGAUGGCGAAGGCAGGUCUCUGGGCCACUACUGACGCUGAGGAGCGAAAGCAUGGGGAGCGAACAGG